AGAGUUUGAUCCUGGCUCAGAGCGAACGCUGGCGGCAGGCUUAACACAUGCAAGUCGAGCGGGCGUAGCAAUACGUCAGCGGCAGACGGGUGAGUAACGCGUGGGAACGUACCUUUUGGUUCGGAACAACACAGGGAAACUUGUGCUAAUACCGGAUAAGCCCUUACGGGGAAAGAUUUAUCGCCGAAAGAUCGGCCCGCGUCUGAUUAGCUAGUUGGUAGGGUAAUGGCCUACCAAGGCGACGAUCAGUAGCUGGUCUGAGAGGAUGAUCAGCCACAUUGGGACUGAGACACGGCCCAAACUCCUACGGGAGGCAGCAGUGGGGAAUAUUGGACAAUGGGGGCAACCCUGAUCCAGCCAUGCCGCGUGAGUGAUGAAGGCCCUAGGGUUGUAAAGCUCUUUUGUGCGGGAAGAUAAUGACGGUACCGCAAGAAU
rnacentral:rRNA from 1 species